rnacentral:rRNA from 1 species
AACGAACGCUGGCGGCGCGUCUUAAGCAUGCAAGUCGGACGGCAAGGCGGGAGCUUGCUCCUGCUCUAGAGUGGCGGACUGGUGAGUAACACGUGGGUGACAUGCCUUGAGGACGGGGAUAGCCGGUAGAAAUAUCGGAUAAUACCGGAUAAGCUCGCAUCUGUUAGAGGGGUGUGAGGAAAGGGGCUACGGCCCCGCCUUAAGAGUGGCCCGCGGCCCAUUAUGCUUGUUGGUGUGGUAACGGCCCACCAAGGCUCUGAUGGGUAUCCGGCCUAAGAGGGUGAACGGACACAUUGGGACCGAGAUACGGCCCAGACUCCUACGGGAGGCAGCAGCUAAGAAUAUUCCGCAAUGGGCGAAAGCCUGACGGAGCGACGCCGCGUGGAUGAAGAAGGCCGUGAGGUUGUAAAGUCCUUUUGAACCUGAAGAAUAAGUACGGGAGGGAAUGCCCGUAUGGUGACGGUAGGGUUUGAAUAAGC